UGAGGCUCCAGGUCCUAUCCCAGCAUCACCAUCAGCCAGAGCUGAGCAGGGCUUUGGGUUUAAAAAUUAUUUUUUAAUUAAAUUGGAAAAAAAAAAAAAACCUCAACUGGAGGGUAGAUAGCAUAAUGGUUCUGCAAACAAACUCUCAAGCCUGAGGUUCCAGUCCCAGGUUCAAUCCCCUGCCCCACCAUCAGCCAGAGCUGAGCAGGGCUCUGGUUUAAAAAAAAAAAAAAUUCUUUCCUAGGAGAAUCUUGUCACCCCAAUGUGCUUGUGUCACCUGACCACCUCGCUUCCCAUGAAGCCAGUUCCCCACCUGAGGCACAAGGAAGGCGGGGAGGAGGGCUCCCCAUGCCUGGCGAGGUCUGGGUGCAGGGGCCCCGCCCGCCGGCGGCAGAGGCAGGGGCUGGCUGGAGGGAGGGCAGCGCCCGGUGACGGCGUCCCAGCCCGGGGAUGACGUGGUUGGGAGCCCAUUUGAUGUCCAGUUUUUCCAGAAUCUCCACUCGGUGCCACUUCUCUGCACACCGCGCUCCCGGUGGCCUCCCACCUCCCCUGAGCUGCACCCAGGGCCCCGGGUCCCGUCCCGUCUUGUCCCACAGAGCCCUGCCUAGCUCUGACUUAUGGAGGCGCUGGGGGGACUGAACCUGGGACUGUGGAGCCUGAGGCCCGAGAGCCUGCUUGCAGAGCCUGUGCUGUCUGCCCCCGCCCCUCACUCCUGGCUGAGGCAGCUGGUGUGACACUCUGGGAGUCCCAGCAGCUCCCACUUGCUGCCCUGGUGUCCUUGCCUGUCCUUGAUUCCCGUCACCUCCAAGUUGCUCUGCGUGAGAGGACCCCGGGGUAGAGGCCUUUCCACUGGCCCCCAGAGAGCGCCAGUCUGCGCUGGGCACUGGGUGCUGGGGAUGUCACGUGACAGCCCCCUGCAUGGGCCCAGCCCCGGUCACCUGCCUCCCCCUCAUCUGCUCUGGACCCGCGUUCCUGGACUUUCUGGGAGGGAAGGCACUUCUCCGUGCCCUAGAGGGAAGCUUCCAGAAUGCUGAGCCCCAGGCAGAAGCUGUUCUCGCUCCCCCAGCGAGCUCUGUGUGGGGCAGCAAAUCUGGGUCCCCUGAGACGGGCAUCUUGGGCUGGUCCCCUGAGACGGGCAUCGUGGGCUGGUCCCUGAGACGGGCAUCGUGGGCUGGUCCCCUGAGACGGGCAUCGUGGGCUGGCCCCUGAGACGGGCAUCGUGGGCUGGUCCCCUGAGACGGGCACCGUGGGCUGGUCCCCUGAGACGGGCACCAUGGGCUGGUCCCCUGAGACGGGCAUCGUGGGCUGGUCCCCUGAGACGGGCAUCGUGGGCUGGUCCCUGAGACGGGCAUCGUGGGCUGGUCCCUGAGACGGGCAUCGUGGGCUGGUCCCUGAGACGGGCAUCGUGGGCUGAUCCCUGAGACGGGCACCGUGGGCUGGUCCCUGAGAUGGGCAUCGUGGGCUGCGUCCUGGCUAGGACACACAUUCUGUGACCUACUGGUCAGGCAAAAAAAGACGGCCAACCUGGUGGGUAUGAGACACCUCGCCACCAUGACUGUCCUCACCUUGCCCAGCUCAAGGCCCUGGGUUCCAGUGCCGCCACCACAUGGAUUAUCAUGGGUGGGGGGAGUUGGGGCAGGAACAGCAACAGUGGGCAGGGCAGUGGGGUCUCUCCUCUCUCAGCACCCUGCACAGCACCCAGGGAGCCCAUGGAGGGUGGGCAGGGCUGUGGGG